UACGAAGGGGGCAAGCGUUGUUCGGAAUUAUUGGGCGUAAAGGGAGCGUAGGCGGUUCGGCAAGUCUUUAGUGAAAUCUCUGGGCUCAACUCAGAGUCUGCUGGAGAAACUGCCGGGCUGGAGUAUGGGAGAGGUGAGUGGAAUUCCAUGUGGAGCGGUAAAAUGUGUAGAUAUAUGGAAGAACAUCAAUAACGGCGAAGGCAGUUAACUAGUCUGUUACUGACGUUGAGGCACGAAAGCGUGGGGAGCAAAAAGG
rnacentral:rRNA from 1 species